UUAUAGAGGCGCGGUGUUUAUUAGUAGUUAGAAAGAUACUGCAAGAAGUACUAACAAAAGGAACCAUCGCCGAAGUUAAAUUAAAACUUGUCAUUAAUUUAGCUGGUUGUUUAGGAAAAUAUCCUCGCAACUGUCAUCGUGAUGAUGGAGUGCUUUA
rnacentral:ncRNA from 1 species